UACGUAGGGUGCGAGCGUUAAUCGGAAUUACUGGGCGUAAAGCGCGCGUAGGCGGCCUGCUAAGUCGAACGUGAAAUCCCUGGGCUCAACCCAGGAACUGCGUCCGAUACUGGUUGGCUUGAAUCCGGGAGAGGGAUGUGGAAUUCCAGGUGUAGCGGUGAAAUGCGUAGAUAUCUGGAGGAACACCGGUGGCGAAGGCGACAUCCUGGACCGGUAUUGACGCUGAGACACGAAAGCGUGGGGAGCAAACAGG
rnacentral:rRNA from 1 species